rnacentral:rRNA from 1 species
AUUGAACGCUGGCGGCAGGCCUAACACAUGCAAGUCGAGCGGAUGAACGGAGCUUGCUCCUGGAUUCCGCGGCGGACGGGUGAGUAAUGCCUAGGAAUCUGCCUGGUAUUUGGGGAUAACGUCCGUACACGGGCUCUAAUACCGCAUACGUCCUGAGGGAGAACGUGGUGGAUCUUCGGACCUCACGCUAUCAGCUGAGCCUAGGUCGUAUUAGCUAGUUGGUGGGGUAAAGGCCUACCAAGGCGACGAUCCGUAACUGGUCUGAGAGGAUGAUCAGUCACACUGGAACUGAGACACGGUCCAGACUCCUACGGGAGGCAGCAGUGGGGAAUAUUGGGCAAUGGGCGAAAGCCUGAUGCAGCCAUGCCGCGUGUGUGAAGAAGGUCUUCGGAUUGUAAAGCACUUUAAGUUGGGAGGAAGGGAAGUAAGUUAAUACCUUGAUGUUUUGACGUUACCAACAGAAUAAGCACCGGCUAACUUCGUG